GUCCACGCCGUAACGAUGGGUGCUAGGUGUGGGAGGUGUCGACUCCUCCCGUGCCGCAGCUAACGCAUUAAGCAGCCCGCCUGGGGAGUACGGCCGCAAGGCUAAACUCAAAGGAAUUGACGGGGCCCGCACAAGCAGCGGAGCAUGUUGUUUAAUUCGACGCGACGCGAAGAACCUUACCAGGGCUUGAAAUGCUCGGGAAAGCCGGGGAAACUCGGCCCUCCUUCGGGGACUCGAGUACAGGUGGUGCAUGGCUGUCGU
rnacentral:rRNA from 1 species